rnacentral:rRNA from 1 species
UACGGAGGAUGCAAGCGUUAUCCGGAAUGAUUGGGCGUAAAGCGUCCGCAGGUGGCUAUGUAAGUCUGCUGUUAAAGAGUGAGGCUCAACCUCAUAAGAGCAGUGGAAACUACAUGGCUAGAGUGCGUUCGGGGCAGAGGGAAUUCCUGGUGUAGCGGUGAAAUGCGUAGAGAUCAGGAAGAACACCGGUGGCGAAAGCGCUCUGCUAGGCCGCAACUGACACUCAUGGACGAAAGCUAGGGGAGCGAGUGGG